rnacentral:rRNA from 1 species
UACAGAGGGUGCAAGCGUUUAAUCGGAAUUACUGGGCGUAAAGCGUGCGCAGACGGUUGCGUAAGUCAGAUGUGAAAGCCCCGGGCUCAACCUGGGAAUUGCGAUGGAGACUGCAAGGCUUGAAUCUGGCAGAGGGGGGUAGAAGUUCCACGUGUAGCAGUGAAAUGCGUAGAGAUGUGGAGGAACACCGAUGGCGAAGGCAGCCCCCUGGGUCAAGAUUGACGCUCAUGCACGAAAGCGUGGGGAGCAAACAGG